rnacentral:rRNA from 1 species
UACGAAGGGGGCUAGCGUUGCUCGGAAUCACUGGGCGUAAAGGGUGCGUAGGCGGCCGAUUAAGUCGGGGGUGAGAGCCUGUGGCUCAACCACAGAAUUGCCUUCGAUACUGAUUGGCUUGAGACCGGAAGAGGUCAGUGGAACUGCGAGUGUAGAGGUGAAAUUCGUAGAUAUUCGCAAGAACACCAGUGGCGAAGGCGGCUGACUGGUCCGGUUCUGACGCUGAGGCGCGAAAGCGUGGGGAGCAAACAGG